rnacentral:rRNA from 1 species
GAUGAACGCUGGCGGCGUGCCUAAUACAUGCAAGUCGAGCGAACGGACGGGAAGCUUGCUUUUCUGAUGUUAGCGGCGGACGGGUGAGUAACACGUGGAUAACCUACCUAUAAGACUGGGAUAACUUCGGGAAACCGGAGCUAAUACCGGAUAAUAUUUUGAACCGCAUGGUUCAAAAGUGAAAGACGGUCUUGCUGUCACUUAUAGAUGGAUCCGCGCUGCAUUAGCUAGUUGGUAAGGUAACGGCUUACCAAGGCAACGAUGCAUAGCCGACCUGAGAGGGUGAUCGGCCACACUGGAACUGAGACACGGUCCAGACUCCUACGGGAGGCAGCAGUAGGGAAUCUUCCGCAAAGGGCGAAAGCCUGACGGAGCAACGCCGCGUGAGUGAUGAAGGUCUUCGGAUCGUAAAACUCUGUUAUUAGGGAAGAACAUAUGUGUAAGUAACUGUGCACAUCUUGACGGUACCUAAUCAGAAAGCCACGGCUAACUACGUG